CCGUAAGCGGCGGACUGGUGAGUACGCGUGGGUGAUCUACCUUAAACGAUGGGGAUACGCCGUUAGAAAUAACGGAUAAUACCGAAUACGAUCGCGAGUGUUCUGACCUUGUGAUGAAAGGCGCUUCGGCGCCGCCUUGAGAUGAGCCCGCGUCCCAUUAGCUUGUUGGCGGUGUAACGGACCACCAAGGCGAAGAUGGGUAGCCGGCCUGAGAGGGUGAACGGCCACAUUGGGACUGAGAUACGGCCAGACUCCUACGGGAGGCAAGCAGCUAAGAAUAUUCCGCAAUGGACGAAAGUCUGACGUGAGCGACUGCCGCGUGUAUGACGAAGGCCAGAAAGGUUGUAAAAGUACUUUUGCAGACAGAACGAAUAAGACAGCAGUAGGUAAUGAUUGCCGUGAGUGACAGUAUAGUCUGACGAAUAAGACCCCGGCAUAAUUA
rnacentral:rRNA from 1 species